rnacentral:ncRNA from 1 species
AGCCGACAAGACUAAACCAUUCGCGAGAAUGGGGCGGAAAGCCCAUAGGGUCUCACUGAGACAGCCGGGAUGCCGAA